GAUGAACGCUGGCGGCGUGCUUAACACAUGCAAGUCGAACGGAAAGGCCCUGCUUUUGUGGGGUGCUCGAGUGGCGAACGGGUGAGUAACACGUGAGUAACCUGCCCUUGACUUUGGGAUAACUUCAGGAAACUGGGGCUAAUACCGGAUAGGAGCUCCUGCUGCAUGGUGGGGGUUGGAAAGUUUCGGCGGUUGGGGAUGGACUCGCGGCUUAUCAGCUUGUUGGUGGGGUAGUGGCUUACCAAGGCUUUGACGGGUAGCCGGCCUGAGAGGGUGACCGGCCACAUUGGGACUGAGGUACGGCCCAGACUCCUACGGGAGGCAGCAGGGGGGAAUAUUGCACAAUGGGCGGAAGCCUGAUGCAGCAACGCCGCGUGCGGGAUGACGGCCUUCGGGUUGUAAACCGCUUUCGCCUGUGACGAAGCGUGAGUGACGGUAAUGGGUAAAGAAGCACCGGCUAACUACGUG
rnacentral:rRNA from 1 species